rnacentral:rRNA from 1 species
CUACGGGGCGCUCCAGUGAGGAAUAUUGCACAAUGGGGGGAACCCUGAUGCAGCAACGCCGCGUGGAGGAUGACGCAUUUCGGUGUGUAAACUCCUUUUAUAUGUCAAGAAAAUGACGGUAGCAUAUGAAUAAGCACCGGCUAACUCCGUGCCAGCAGCCGCGGUAAUAGGAGGGUGCAAGCGUUACUCGGAAUCACUGGGCGUAAAGGACGCGUAGGCGGGUUGGAAAGUCAGGUGUGAAAUCCUACAGCUUAACUGUAGAACUGCACUUGAAACUUCUAAUCUAGAGUAUGGGAGGGGGAGAUGGAAUUAGUGGUGUAGGGGUAAAAUCCGUAGAUAUCACUAGGAAUACCUAAAGCGAAGGCGAUCUCCUGGAACAUUACUGACGCUAAGGCGUGAAAGCGUGGGGAGCAAACAGGAUUAGAUACCCCUGUAGUC